rnacentral:lncRNA from 1 species
UCCUCUGCUCCAAGCUAGCCUGAACUGAGCAAGAUCAAAACUCUGGUAACAUUUUUUUCUCCUUCCCAUAUUCUGGUAACUGCCAGUACCAAACCUCAUUGUGGUGUAAUCAGCCCUGGAGUAUCAGUCUGUUAAGUCUGCCUCAGGAUACCGAUAUCUCUGGUAAACUUGAGGACUCCUGAAAUUUUAGGUUUGUUUUUUGCGACUAUCAUGGUGAGGAAGGGCAGAAAGUACAGAUUGGUUUGUACAUGGCAUACUUUCAAACUCUUAGGUCCAUAAUGCUUGAAGCAUAAUACUGUACAUGGGUUUUUAUGCUGAAUUUUAUCUCUUUUGUAAGGUAACGUGAAUUGAUUAUGUAAACUAAAGUUCUUCUGUUCUUGUGCAAAUCUUACUUAAAUAAUUGAUAACCAGGAAACCAGAUUCAUAGACUCCUUGGAAACUACAACACUGUUAUCAGAAAUGCAGGCAGUUGGGCAUAGCUGACAUUUGAAAAGCCAGAUUUAUUAUACAGCCAAUUUUUAUGUUGAAGUACUCUCCCUUGGGUUGAAAAUCAGAUUUUGCUAAUUAAAAUCCCAUUUAUCUAAAUUGUAUUAGGUUUCCUACAAAUCUGAAAUGUCAAAAUCUGCAAGCAAUACUGACAAAGCCGAGUCUGCAUAGGAUUUGUGCCUUGAUGUCAGAUCCAGGAAAAACAGAAUCAGUUCUACUCAGGAACCCACAUAUAUUUUGCUAAGUGCCAACAGAAAGUUAUUCAAUGAACAGCAUUAGAAAGGCAACUUGCUUGACUUUGAGUAUCAGUCUCUCUAGAGCCUGGAGCUGACACUAGAUGUUCCAGAUGGUGCCAAGUCAAGGAUCUACUGCUGGAACCAGGUAGGAAGAUCUCUAAAAUGUUUUUUUGUUUGUUUGUUUUUGUUGUUGUUGUUUUUACCAAGUGAUUUGCAAGUCACUUCGGGGUAAAGCAAAUUUUGAAAAGAGAAGGAAAAUUCUCUUACAGUAUUAACUGAUGGCAAUUAACUAGACAAAUAACUGUAGCUAAAAGAUUGACCCCCCCACACUUAUAUA